GCACCCCGAGGCCCUCGCAAAGUCUCACCCCAUUCCGAGUCCGGCGGACGAACUUCGCCCGCGCCCCCCACCAAGGCUAUAGCCCACCCGUUUUUUGGCCAUUUUUCCGCUGGGGGGUUUUGGCACCACGACCUUCGGGCGCUUAUUUUUGGGCGCGGCUUUGCCCGCGGCUUAUUUUUGGCACCCCGAGGCCCCUCGCAAAGUCUCGCCCCAUUCCGAGUCCGGCGGACGAACUUCGCCCGCUCCGCCCACCAAGGCUAUAGCCCACCCGUUUUUUGGCCAUUUUUCCGCUGGGGGGUUUUGGCACCACGACCUUCGGCCGCUUAUUUUUGGGCGCGGUUUGCCCGCGGCUUAUUUUUGGCACCCCGAGGCCCCUCGCAAAGUCUCGCCCCAUUCCGAGUCCGGCGGACGAACUUCGCCCGCGCCCCCCACCAAGGCUAUAACCCACCCGUUUUUUGGCCAUUUUUCCGCUGGGGGGUUUUGGCACCACGACCUUCGGGCGCUUAUUUUUGUGCGUGGCUGUGCCCGCGACUUCCCGCGGGCACCCCGAGGCACCUCGCAAAGUCUUGCCCCAUUCCGAGUCCGGCGGAUGAACUUCGCCCGCGCCCCCCACCAAGGCUAUAACCCAAUCGUUUUUUGGCCAUUUUUCCGCUGGGGGGUUUUGGCACCACGACCUUCAGGCGAUUAUUUUUGGGUGCGGCUGUGCCCGCGACUUCCCGCGGGCACCCCGAGGCCACUCGCAAAGUCUCGCCCCAUUCCGAGUCCGGCGGACGAACUUCGCCCGCGCCCCCACCAAGGCUAUAGCCCACCCGUUUUUUGGCCAUUUUUCCGCUGGGGGGUUUUGGCACCACGACCUUCGGGCGCUUAUUUUUGGGCGCAGCUUUACCCGCGGCUUAUUUUUGGCACCCCGAGGCCCCUCGCAAAGUCUCGCCCCAUUCCGAGUCCGGCGGACGAACUUCGCCCGCUCCGCCCACCAAGGCUAUAGCCCACCCGUUUUUUGGCCAUUUUUCCGCUGGGGGGUUUUGGCACCACGACCUUCGGGCACUUAUUUUUGGGCGCGGCUGUACCCGCGACUUCCCGCGGGCACCCCGAGGCCCCUCGCAAAGUCUCACCCCAUUCCGAGUCCGGCGGACAAACUUCGCCCGCGCCCCCCACCAAGGCUAUAGCCCACCCGUUUUUUGGCCAUUUUUCCGCUGGGGGGUUUUGGCACCACGAUCUUCGGGCGCUUAUUUUUGGGCGCGUCUUUGCCCGCGGCUUAUUUUUGGCACCCCGAGGCCCCUCGCAAAGUCUCGCCCCAUUCCGAGUCCGGUGGACGAACUUCGCCCGCGCCCCCCACCAAGGCUAUAGCCCACCCGUUUUUUGGCCAUUUUUCCGCUGGGGGGUUUUGGCACCACGACCUUCGGGCGCUUAUUUUUGGGCGCGGCUGUGCCCGCGACUUCCCGCGGGCACCGCGAGGCCACUCGCAAAGUCUCGCCCCAUUCCGAGUCCGGCGGACGAACUUCGCCCGCGCCCCCCACCAAGGCUAUAGCCCACCCGUUUUUUGGCCAUUUUUCCGCUGGGGUGUUUUGGCACCACGUCCUUCGGGCGCUUAUUUUUGGGCGCGGUUUGCCCGCGGCUUAUUUUUGGCGCCCCGAGGCCCCUCGCAAUGUCUCGCCCCAUUCCGAGUCCGGCGGACGAACUUCGCCCGCGCCCCCCACCAAGGCUAUAGCCCACCCGUUUUUUGGCCAUUUUUCCGCUGGGGGGUUUUGGCACCACGACCUUCGGGCGCUUAUUUUUGGGCGCGGCUGUACCCGCGACUUCCCGCGGGCACCCCGAGGCCCCUCGCAAAGUCUCGCCCCAUUCCGAGUCCGGCGGACGAACUUCGCCCGCGCCCCCCACCAAGGCUAUAGCCCACCCGUUUUUUGGCCAUUUUUCCGCUGGGGGGUUUUGGCACCACGACCUUCGGACGCUUAUUUUUGGGCGUGGCUUUGCCCGCGGCUUAUUUUUGGCGCCCCGAGGCCCCUCGCAAAGUCUCGCCCCAUUCCGAGUCCGGCGGACGAACUUCGCCCGCGCCCCCCACCAAGGCUAUAGGCCACCCAUUUUUUGGCCAUUUUUCCACUGGGGGGUUUUGGCACCACGAUCUUCGGGCGCUUAUUUUUGGGCGCGUCUUUGCCCGCGGCUUAUUUUUGGCACCCCGAGGCCCCUCGCAAAGUCUCGCCCCAUUCCGAGUCCGGUGGACGAACUUCGCCCGCGCCCCCCACCAAGGCUAUAGCCCAC
rnacentral:lncRNA from 1 species